AACGCACAUUGCGCCCCUUGGUAUUCCAUGGGGCAUGCCUGUUCGAGCGUCAUUUGUACCUUCAAGCUCUGCUUGGUGUUGGGUGUUUGUCUCGCCUUUUGCGUGUAGACUCGCCUCAAAACGAUUGGCAGCCGGCGUAUUGAUUUCGGAGCGCAGUACAUCUCGCGCUUUGCACUCACAACGACGACGUCCAAAAAGUACAUUUUUACACUCUUGACCUCGGAUCAGGUAGGGAUACCCGCUGAACUUAA
rnacentral:misc_RNA from 1 species